AACGAACGCUGGCGGCGUGCUUAACACAUGCAAGUCGAACGCGAAAGGGACUUCGGUCCUGAGUAAAGCGGCGCACGGGUGAGUAACGCGUAGAUAACCUGUCUUCGGGUCUGGAAUAAUACGCCGAAAGGGGUACUAAUACAGGAUAUUCCUGAUUUAUAUAAGUUUUGCAAGCAAAGGUGGCCUCUGACAUAAGCUACUGCAUGAAGAGGGGUCUGCGUACCAUUAGCUAGUAGGUGGGGUAAGGGCCUACCUAGGCGACGAUGGUUAGCGGGUCUGAGAGGAUGAUCCGCCACACUGGCACUGGAACACGGGCCAGACUCCUACGGGAGGCAGCAGUGAGGAAUAUUGCGCAAUGGGGGCAACCCUGACGCAGCGACGCCGCGUGAGUGAGGAAGGCCUUCGGGUCGUAAAGCUCUGACAGAGGGAAAGAAGUGUACUGUGGUUAAUACCCGCGGUACUUGACGGUACCCUCAAAGGAAGCACCGGCUAACUCCGUGCCAGCCGCCGCAGUAAGAC
rnacentral:rRNA from 1 species